GACGAAGGAUGCGAAGCGUUAUCCGGAUUCAUUGGGUUUAAAGGGAGCGUAGGUGGCCUUAUAAGUCAGUGGUGAAAUCUUCGAGCUUAAACUCGGAAAUUGCCAUUGAUACUGUAGGGCUUGAGUAUAGUUGCCGUUGGCGGAAUAUGACAUGUAGUGGUGAAAUACAUAGAGAUGUCAUAGAACGCCGAUUGCGAAGGCAGCUGACGAAACUAUAACUGACACUGAGGCUCGAAAGUGACGGGGAUCAAACAGG
rnacentral:rRNA from 1 species